rnacentral:rRNA from 1 species
AUACGGAGGGUGCAAGCGUUGUUCGGAAUCACUGGGCGUAAAGGGCGCGCAGGCGGUUUGGUAAGUCAGAUGUGAAAGCCCACGGCUCAACCGUGGAAGUGCAUUUGAAACUGCCAGACUUGAGUACCAGAGGGGAAAGUGGAAUUCCCGGUGUAGAGGUGAAAUUCGUAGAUAUCGGGAGGAAUACCGGUGGCGAAGGCGACUUUCUGGCUGGAUACUGACGCUGAGGCGCGAAAGCGUGGGGAGCAAACAGGAUUAGAAACCCCGGUAGUCC